UUUUUAAUAUAUUUUUUCUGCGCGCGGGGAACAUGGCGCACGUGCGCAUUAAAUAUUACACAUGGUUUCGAAAUUUUUGACGUUUCCGGUAAGUUUUAGCUUGCGGCUCAUUAUUCACGCGUCAACGGGCGGAUAAGGUGUUGGCAAAGGUACCGCGUUAUGGAAGGGGUGGAAACCGUGGUAAAACUCGUGUCGGUGCGGUAGAGAUGGGGUGGUUGAAACACUGGCAAACUAGUCUCCGUCGUUGAGCGGUAGAGUAAGUAGUGUAGUGGAAUAUCCGUUAUUAGGUAGCGGUGGCAACACUCGGGUUUAUAGUGAAUCUAGGAGGGACGAGCAUAAGGGACGAAGUUAGGGAAACAUGUUGGAUGCGAUCAUACCAGCACUAAAGCACCGGAUCCUAUCAAAACUCCGAAGUUAAGCGUGCUUGGGCGAGAGUAGUACUAGGAUAGGUGACCUCCUGGGAAGUCCUCGUGUUGCAUUCCC
rnacentral:rRNA from 1 species